rnacentral:rRNA from 1 species
UACAUGAGGUGCAAACGUUGCUCGGAAUCAUUGGGCGUAAAGCGCGCGUAGGCGGUUACUUAAGUUGGAUGUGAAAGCCCUCGGCUUAACCGAGGAAGUGCAUCCAAAACUGAGUAGCUAGAGUACGAAAGAGGGUCGCGGAAUUCCCGGUGUAGAGGUGAAAUUCGUAGAUAUCGGGAGGAACACCGGUGGCGAAGGCGGCGACCUGGGUCGAGACUGACGCUGAGGCGCGAAAGCGUGGGGAGCAAACAGG